GUCCAACUCCACCUGGUCCAACUCCGCCUGGUCUAACACCUCCUGGUGCUAUGCCUCCAGGUCCUUGUCCACCAUAUCCUCCUAAGGAAAUGAGACCAGAGUCAAUAAAACCAAGCAGAAAAUGA